GCGAGAAUGAAUUCACGGCUCAACUGUCCCUGUACUCUGUGGAGCAAGUGUGGAAGUGUUCCAGGGAGGGAGGAACACCCUGAAUUCUGUACCUGCCAAUCUUCAUUUUGUUCUUAACUAUUCUUACUCUUUCAUAGACUUAUAUAAAAUAGAGAAACUUUUAUGGUAGUCAUUAGUUACUGAGACUGCUUUGUCGCUUCACAAAUCUUAUAACUGAAAUUCAGUUUACAGAAGCUAAAAUUAGAAGGCUUUUCUUUUUGACUAUUAGAAAAUCAGUAUGUUAGUCUCUGUUGUGUUAGAAUGUUAUGUCACAUCUCAAAUGUGAUAUUUACUUGUAUUUCUGUGUGGCUGGCUCAGAGGACUGGUGCUUGCUGCACUCUGUGUAAUCUGGUUACCUGCACAGCAAACCGCAUGCCAGCGACAAGGAAGGCACCCUGUUAAACGGUGUACCAGUCACGGGAUGGACUGGAGAAUGGUGCGAAUGGACCACUGUAAAUGUACCUGUAUUAACACAAAGCCCAGCUGAGAGCAUCUAUCUGACUGGCAGUAAGAAUCAUGGGCCUUCUUGAAGUUAAAAUACUUGAAGGUCCAGCCUGGAGCUCAUUGCUUCGUCCCAGCAUGAACUUCUUCAUCUCCAGGCACCCGCCAAGGGGCCACCUGGUGGUCAGAGGGGGAACGAACACCAACAAAUCUGCAUGAAAUUGCGCCCAUUGCAUUUUUUCUUCUAUUUCCUAUUGGCCAAGCUAAUCUCUCUGUAUUCUGCACAUACCCAGUGCUGAAGAGAAGGGUUAUAACCCUUGUGCCCCUUUCUCAUCUACCUCUUUCCUAGUCACACUCAGUAAAUCUCUCUUCAUCUCUUCAUUCCAUGUUUGUUUUAAAAAAAAAAAGAAGAGCCCUUGAAAUCAGUAAUGCAUUUUUAUGUCAAGGAAUUGGAAGGCAAAAUUUGAGUGGAAUUUGGCCUAGUUAAUAAAUAAGUCAGCCUCCAAAGUUCUUUUGACCUGAAAUCGUCUUUAUAAAAGUUUUUACCUUAGCUCCCCAUUUUACUUGGUUUAAUUUUUUUUUUAAUAUUAGGUUUUUUAAAAAUGGAAAUGGCAACAUAUAUUUCUUAGAGAAAAGUGGUGGAUUUGUAGAUACUUGUUUUAUUAUUCCUUAUGCCUUUACAUGCGUAAUUAAUG